GCAAGCUGAGAUCCGUACCAACGCCGUGGCAAAGGUUACUGCCCUGGGGAGCUCCAACCUGUCUGGGCCCUGGGGCCGACCGGGCGGGAACCACUUGCCCCUUGGGCACAGCCUCAGCCUCCCUGGAACCUCCCCGCCGCUCGCCCACCCACUGCGGCAGCCGUCCCGGGGCGCGGCGAGGGCGCGCGGCUGGGAGCCGGUACCUGCUUCCUGAGCGCCUCGAAGGCGGCGCUGAUCGUGUGCACCCGCGUCCGCUCCCGCGCGUUCGCUAGGAGCCUCCGGGUCUGCUGCAGGGCUUUGAUCUCCGAGGCAGCGGCGGUCGCUUCGCCCGGCCGUUUCCUAGGCGACGCGGAGGAAUCCGGGUGGUUAUUGUAAAUUACGUGUGAAAUUGACGAGGAGACCUAGCAUCUGUGAGAUUCUGCAGGCGCCUCACCCCUGGCCGCCUGCUAAGCUCGGAUUUACUCAUCUAUGAAAUGAGGAGUGCCCCCGUCCCAGCCUUGCUGUGAGGACUGAAGCCCCAGGCACACAGGAGCUCUACCCUCUACAAAUGGAGUGAUCUUGGAUGAGUCACGGAACCUCUCUGUGCUUCCCUCUUCUUACGCAUAAAACCGAGAGCGUGCUCGCCCUCACCCUUUGAUGACUGGCUCCAGUCUCCCCUCCUCCUGUAAACCCUGGCCAACUGACCACCAGAGCCCCCUGUCACUCUUGCUGGCCUCUGCACAUGCUCACUCACAAGUCUGGCUGCAGUUUAUCCUCCACUGAGGACCUGGCGGACCCCCCUAGGUUUGUGAGCUCCUGGAAGCCUGGUAAGUCUCAGGAGAUGUUUGCUGAAGGACAGCCAGCUCUCAUGUCCUUUACAUUCUCCAGAACUCAAGCAGAGGCUAAGAUCCGUGCUUGCCCACUCCUCGUGCAUCUCAGUGGCAGGCAUGGGAGGAAAGCCAGCCCACUGCUCUCCAGAGCUGCAGAGGUACCCUAUGAGCCUCAGUGUCCUCACCUGUAAAUGGAGAUCAUAAUCUUUUCACAGGGCCAUCACAGGGAUUAAAUUAGGCUGCAUGUAUGGCAUUGAGCAUAGUGAUGAUGUAGAGUGAGAGGUGGCUUUAGGCAUCCCCCGUUAGCACACUGCCUUGGCUCCUUGCAUUGUAGCAUCUGGCCCCAGACUCUACAGUUGCAGGCUGAGGUGUCUAUGGCUAGUUGGGAUGGCUAGUGUGGAAGUCUCUGGCAGGACUGAAAAUCAUCCCUUAAGAAGCCAAGCUGUGCUCUAGAAAAAGCAUGUAUCUUGGCUGAACAUCGAGGGCUCCACUGGUGCUGCCUGAGCCCCUCACCAAUUCCCCCCAAACUGGAGAUGGUCGCUGAAAUCCCACGUGGGGAGAGGGGAAGAGAAUGGAUAGGAAUAGUCAGCUGUGCUGGGUGGAGGUAGAGCAAGACUCAGAGCUGGCUCCAGUCUCCUGGGAUACCCUCCUGCCCACCCCCCCCCCAGCACCGUGCUGCCUCCCCCCACUCAGACACUGGGGCCCAGGGGUUGGCAUCACGCAAGCCUAGGAGGGAUCUCUGCUUUGCCACUUACCAGCUGUGUGGCCUCAAGCAGCCUCUUCACCUCUCUGAGCCUUAGUUCAGUAUCUGGGCAUUAUCCCCUUAGUUGGAUAAGAUGGAAUGUACAGGAACAGGAAGCAAACUGUAAAGGGUCCAGGAGUUGUGGAGGGUUCCUGUUAAUGCCAUUCCCAGCCCACCAGGUGGCAGAUCUUCAAGGUCAAGGCUAGGAGCCCAUAAAUCGAAGCCUACGGGCAAACCUGCAUCCCAGGGCUCCUGAUUCUGUCUUCCCAGCCUCCUUGAGAAACCCGGCAGAGCAUGAAGGAGAAAGAUACCAGCUGGGCAGCGCCCCCUGGUGGUGUGACGCUGUACUGCACAUCUCCCUGCAAGGAACCUGCUCAUUUUGAAGUCGCCUGUGGUAGCCCUGCAAUGACAGUAAUAUAGAUUUUGUGAAUCCAGAGAGUUACCAGGAUAAAAUGGUUCUUGAGGCUCAAGGCUCUGCUUGGGAUGGCACAAUACAGACACCCCAAGAAAACCUAUGCCCUACAUUAAAAACAUCCCCCACUGAA